rnacentral:rRNA from 1 species
AGUGAACGCUGGCGGUAGGCCUAACACAUGCAAGUCGAACGGCAGCACAGUAAGAGCUUGCUCUUACGGGUGGCGAGUGGCGGACGGGUGAGGAAUACAUCGGAAUCUACUUUUUCGUGGGGGAUAACGUAGGGAAACAUACGCUAAUACCGCAUACGACCUACGGGUGAAAGCAGGGGAUCUUCGGACCUUGCGCGAUUGAAUGAGCCGAUGUCGGAUUAGCUAGUUGGCGGGGUAAAGGCCCACCAAGGCGACGAUCCGUAGCUGGUCUGAGAGGAUGAUCAGCCACACUGGAACUGAGACACGGUCCAGACUCCGACGGGAGGCAGCAGUGGGGAAUAUUGGACAAUGGGCGCAAGCCUGAUCCAGCCAUACCGCGUGGGUGAAGAAGGCCUGCGGGUUGUAAAGCCCUUUUGUUGGGAAAGAAAAGCAGCAGGUUAAUACCCCGCUGUUCGGACGGUACCCAAAGAAUAAGCACCGGCUAACUUCGU